AGGAAGUACGUGUCAUGCUGACGUCUCUUAUAUAAAUGCAGUCGGAGUGGCAUGCUCUUGCAUUUGGGAAGAGGAGGAACAGCUUUACUGGUUCUGAUUUGGGAAGGUUCGCACUACAACGAAAAUAAAAAACUAUAACGAAUUAUGGGUUACACAAGACGACUCAAUUUCAGCUGUUUGUUCGGAAAGCUGGUUAUAUUCGGGCGGACAAUGUGGAUUUGGAGUCCUACGUAGGUUAGAGGCGGAUAAUUUGUGCAGACAAGCUACCUAAGCGGUACGAGGGUGUUUCAAACAUUCGAAGCUGCAGCAGCAGCGGAGCGCACGUGCCCUCCGUCCACGCCACGUGCUUAAGGAGCGGAAGGCCGCGUCUGGGCACACAGGUUGCCUUUGAACAGAGGUCGAAGAAAUCCCGAUGCGGCUGGUGCUACCUGGGAGAAGACUGAUUGUAUAAUUUCUUAAACUUUCUGUGAAUAUAAAAUAAAAAAAAAAUGGUUUAGUCUCCAGUCUUGGUGUGGUCGUUCUUUGAGCACCUGCGACUUGGCCGUCUGCACUGUCUUUGAACCUGUGGAGCCUUACUUGUGGUUUCACAGGCCAAGCUACAGUGCGAGAGAAACGCUUGUUAUAACUGGGGCUUCUUUGGCGUCUCUACCAAGCUGCUCUUUUAAAAGCAAGUUACAUCUGAACAAUUUGUUUUUUGUAGUAGAACGGUCACCCGCUCUGCCAGUCUUUUCUCCCUUGUAACCUGGUCAAUUUGCCGUCUGGGUUGGUGACGUGCUGUGUUUCACAAAACAGGAUUACGGAGUUAGCCGAAUAACCACAGCGAGUGGAACCCUCCCAGAUCUGGACUCUGUACUCCACUCAAUUACCCAGCUAACUCCAAAAUCCUGCUUUAUGAAACGCCUUCCCUGGUCUUUAACAAAGCAUACUUUGGUUGGAAAAAAGCUGGAUUAAACAUCCCUUGUAACUGCUGCUAGAAAGCUUUUUUUCCCCCAGUUCUAGCAGCAUUUUUUCCCCCCCCCUUCUCCCUUUUUUUGUAUCCAAGUCAAUUUAUACAUUUUGCUGUUGAUUCAAUGCAUGUGAUUGCUAAG